rnacentral:rRNA from 1 species
UACAUAGGUCUCAAGCGUUGUUCGGAUUCAUUGGGCGUAAAGGGUGCGUAGGCGGCGCGGUAAGUCGGGUGUGAAAUCUCGGAGCUUAACUCCGAAACUGCAUUCGAUACUGCCGUGCUUGAGGACUGGAGAGGAGACUGGAAUUUACGGUGUAGCGGUGAAAUGCGUAGAUAUCGUAAGGAAGACCAGUGGCGAAGGCGGGUCUCUGGACAGUACCUGACGCUGAGGCACGAAGGUCAGGGGAGCAAACGGG